GGAGGCGUCGCAUAGCGGCCUAGUGCGCCAUCUUGGAAAGAUGGUAUACCGCAAGGUAUCGGAGGUUCGAAUCCUCCCGCCUCCG
rnacentral:tRNA from 1 species